AUUGAACGCUGGCGGCAUGCCUUACACAUGCAAGUCGAACGGCAGCACGGGGCAACCUGGUGGCGAGUGGCGAACGGGUGAGUAAUGCAUCGGAACGUACCUUUCAGUGGGGGAUAACGUAGCGAAAGUUACGCUAAUACCGCAUAUUCUGUGAGCAGGAAAGCAGGGGAUCGCAAGACCUUGCGCUGAUUGAGCGGCCGAUGUCAGAUUAGCUAGUUGGUGAGGUAAAGGCUCACCAAGGCGACGAUCUGUAGCGGGUCUGAGAGGAUGAUCCGCAACACUGGAACUGAGACACGGUCCAGACUCCUACGGGAGGCAGCAGUGGGGAAUUUUGGGCAAUGGGGGCAACCCUGAUCCAGCCAUGCCGCGUGAGUGAAGAAGGCCUUCGGGUUGUAAAGCUCUUUCGGCCGGGAAGAAAUCGCACGGGCUAAUACCCUGUGUGGAUGACGGUACCGGAAUAAGAAGCACCGGCUAACUACGUGCCAGCAGCCGCAGUAAGAC
rnacentral:rRNA from 1 species